GUGAACUUCACACCAUAGUAUGAAAUGGUUUGCGGUUUAUCGUACAUGCAAAUGAGGAUAUAUGGCGUGGUUGCCAGAGGUUAAUUGGGUUAGCUUGCAUAUACACAGCUCAGGGACUAUUGAUAAUGCACACACCGAUGGCCUCGGAGGUUCCGGGAUCGACACCUGCCAGAAUCCAAUGGUGGAUAGUCAGUGUGCCCCGAGUUCGUGGGCGGCGAUGACCUAGAAUAGAAUUGACCUGCGAGUCUACCAGGAACGGAGUUGCGCCGCCAAUGUUCCGGCAGGUUUCGUUGGAUGCCGUUGGUGGGUGCUGAACCUGAGUGAGAACAACUGAGAAGUUGCCUAGGGUGACUGAAUGAGGGUGACCCCGAAAGGCAGGCUUUUACCAGGUAGCGGCCACGGGUGAAGAUAUACCCAUCUUUGACUAAUCCUCCAAAUUUUCCAUCUGCUUGCAGCCCUCAGUAGCACGCUUGCAAGCUGACUAUUCAGUCAUUGAACUCUCCAUUUUCGCGACCAGCAACAGCGUUACUCCACGUCAGCCUUCAAGUGCCGGAUGUAAUCAUCCUUAUGUGCAGCCCAGCUCUGAUCCACUGGCUUCAUGCAUCUGCACUUGUAGCAGAGCUGUGCUGCCGUGAAGGACGACUUGUCCUUGUCUGUUCGUGCUUUUUUGGCCGCGAUUGGCCUGCUGCCAACCCUGCAAUGUGCCAUCGGGGGAUAAACAUUUGGAUUUAGAAAAGGGAAAUGGUUAGAAUAUUCGGGCACCAUCAUGGUGGUAAAAAUUGUUUAGUUGCUUUCAUGGCGUGCUUGUUCGCAUGCAGAUCACGGGCAGCCAAGGCCGUAUUAUGAUGUGUAUCACCAUAUUGCAACAAAAAUGCGUCAUGCAAAGUGUAACAUGAAAGCGGCUUCUUGCCCGAUUUAUGCAUCCUAAACACAUCGGUGGCCCAGACCUGUAAUUUGCC
rnacentral:lncRNA from 1 species